GGGGAUAUGGCGAAAUUGGUAGACGCUACGGACUAAAAUCUGUUGACUUUUAAAAUCGUGAGGGUUCAAGUCCCUCUAUCCCCA
rnacentral:tRNA from 1 species